AAAAUGUAAUUUGGUCAUGGCGGGGCGGUGACUAUGGUUCCUUUGGCCGUACUCUGUGUUCAAGAAAAUUUUUGACGAUCUUGGUCCGGGGCCCGGGCCACGGCAGAAGGUGUGGGCUAUACCACACGAAAAUUUGGGACUCAGGCGGAUUUCCAAUUUUAUGGCCGUAAACUGCCAAAAAAUGUAAUUUGGUCAUGGCGG
rnacentral:lncRNA from 1 species